GACGAACGCUGGCGGCGUGCUUAACACAUGCAAGUCGAACGGAAAGGCCCUGCUUUUGUGGGGUGCUCGAGUGGCGAACGGGUGAGUAACACGUGAGUAACCUGCCCUUGACUUUGGGAUAACUUCAGGAAACUGGGGCUAAUACCGGAUAGGAGCUCCUGCUGCAUGGUGGGGGUUGGAAAGUUUCGGCGGUUGGGGAUGGACUCGCGGCUUAUCAGCUUGUUGGUGGGGUAGUGGCUUACCAAGGCUUUGACGGGUAGCCGGCCUGAGAGGGUGACCGGCCACAUUGGGACUGAGAUACGGACCAGACUCCUACGGGAGGCAGCAGUGGGGAAUAUUGCACAAUGGGCGGAAGCCUGAUGCAGCAACGCCGCGUGCGGGAUGACGGCCUUCGGGUUGUAAACCGCUUUCGCCUGUGACGAAGCGUGAGUGACGGUAAUGGGUAAAGAAGCACCGGCUAACUACGUGCCAGCAGCCGCGGUGAUACGUAGGGUGCGAGCGUUGUCCGGAUUUAUUGGGCGUAAAGGGCUCGUAGGUGGUUGAUCGCGUCGGAAGUGUAAUCUUGGGGCUUAACCCUGAGCGUGCUUUCGAUACGGGUUGACUUGAGGAAGGUAGGGGAGAAUGGAAUUCCUGGUGGAGCGGUGGAAUGCGCAGAUAUCAGGAGGAACACCAGUGGCGAAGGCGGUUCUCUGGGCCUUUCCUGACGCUGAGGAGCGAAAGCGUGGGGAGCGAACAGGCUUAGAUACCCUGGUAGUCCACGCUGUAAACGGUGGGUACUAGGUGUGGGGUCCAUUCCACGGGUUCCGUGCCGUAGCUAACGCUUUAAGUACCCCGCCUGGGGAGUACGGCCGCAAGGCUAAAACUCAAAGGAAUUGACGGGGCCCCGCACAAGCGGCGGAGCAUGCGGAUUAAUUCGAUGCAACGCGUAGAACCUUACCUGGGUUUGACAUGGAUCGGGAGUGCUCAGAGAUGGGUGUGCCUCUUUUGGGGUCGGUUCACAGGUGGUGCAUGGCUGUCGUCAGCUCGUGUCGUGAGAUGUUGGGUUAAGUCCCGCAACGAGCGCAACCCUUGUUCACUGUUGCCAGCACGUUAUGGUGGGGACUCAGUGGAGACCGCCGGGGUCAACUCGGAGGAAGGUGGGGAUGACGUCAAGUCAUCAUGCCCCUUAUGUCCAGGGCUUCACGCAUGCUACAAUGGCUGGUACAGAGAGUGGCGAGCCUGUGAGGGUGAGCGAAUCUCGGAAAGCCGGUCUCAGUUCGGAUUGGGGUCUGCAACUCGACCUCAUGAAGUCGGAGUCGCUAGUAAUCGCAGAUCAGCAACGCUGCGGUGAAUACGUUCCCGGG
rnacentral:rRNA from 1 species